UGCGUAGGCGGACUAAUAAGUCAGUGGUGAAAUCUCUCGGCUCAACCGGGAAACUGCCAUUGAUACUGUUAGUCUUGAGUUCGGUUGAGGUAGGCGGAAUGUGUAAUGUAGCGGUGAAAUGCUUAGAUAUUACACGGAACACCAAUUGCGUAGGCAGCUUACUAGACCGACACUGACGCUGAGGCACGAAAGCGUGGGUAGCGAACAGGAUUAGAUACCCUGGUAGUCC
rnacentral:rRNA from 1 species